rnacentral:lncRNA from 1 species
CUGAGCAAUAAACUGGAAAGAUCUUGUGAACGGUUCCAACCUUCCUUGUUUGCUUGACUCUUGUUUUCUUUAAUAAAGGAUUUCAGCCCCAGCUGUGACCAUCAGCUCACAUCAGCUGCAUGACACUGCACUGUAUUUCUUACAUCCUGGGAAUUCAGCACUACUGUUGAAGGUGAGCAGAACUUCAGACACCUGCGCUCAGGGCGGCGGCACCCGCGUGUCCCGGGCGGAGCGGCGCGGCUCCGCGCUCCCCCCCGGUUCCGUUCCGCGUCGCUCCGCUCCGCGCCGCCGCGGCAGAACCCCGCGCCCGCGGGACCCCGCGCCCCCGCCCCCGCCGCGCCGGCCCCGCGGGCAGCCGCCACGCGCGGACGUACGCACCGCCCCGACCCCGCCGCGGAAUUAAGGAAGAAAAAAGC